UGGAGUGAAAGCUAGUUCAUAACCACGCUGUUUGGAGCGAAGAAAACUACCUGGAAUUCUUGUUCUCCAAAGAUAUGGAAUUAUCCCAGCAACAGCCGUCCUUCACUGCUCUGUCCUGAGGACCCUCAGGUGUGGCCCAUCCAGCCCCUCAGUGUUUACCUCUGUCCUAAGGACUCUCAGGUGUGGGCGAUCCAGCCCCUUAGUGUUUCCCUCUGUUUUGGAGAUCCUCAGUCUUCCCACACAGGUUGAGAGAGGAGGGGAUCCAAUUGCCUGUGAGGAGGACACGGCUCCUGGGUGGACCCUGCAGAUUGUGAAGUUCAAGUCACAGCUCCUGGGAAGGUCUCUGUGUGUAAAGAUCGUGGGGGUGAGACAGAUUCAGGGACCACACUCUGCUCUGCUCUGUACCUCUGAGUGUCGAUCCAGCUGCCUUGUGACCAGGACACUUAGAAGAAGCAUGGACCCUGCAAGAGGAUGGGCUCAAGGACAGCUUGCCUGACUGCAGCCAUAAGGAUGAAGCCUCUUCAGGUAGAGAAGGACUCCAGGUGGGGCCUGUGCAGAGGGUUCUUACGGGCGCAGUAGGAUUGGGGCUAUAAAAUCAGUAAAUGGAAAAGGA
ensembl:lncRNA novel transcript, antisense to PROP1